UGGGGAAUAUUGCGCAAUGGGGGGAACCCUGACGCAGCAACGCCGCGUGAGCGACGAAGGCCUUCGGGUCGUAAAGCUCUGUCAUGAGGGAAGAAGUCUCUUUAUAAAAAAGAGGUGACGGUACCUCAAGAGGAAGCCCCGGCUAACUACGUGCCAGCAGCCGCGGUAACACGUAGGGGGCGAGCGUUGUCCGGAAUCACUGGGCGUAAAGGGCGUGUAGGCGGCUGAUUAAGUCAGUUGUAAAAGGCUGCGGCUUAACCGCAGAAGUGCAAUUGAAACUGGUCAGCUUGAGGGCAAGAGAGGAAAGCGGAAUUCCUAGUGUAGCGGUGAAAUGCGUAGAUAUUAGGAGGAACACCAGUGGCGAAGGCGGCUUUCUGGCUUGACCCUGACGCUGAGGCGCGAAAGCGUGGGGAGCAAACAGG
rnacentral:rRNA from 1 species